rnacentral:antisense_RNA from 1 species
ACGGCGCCCAGCGGACAGAAGAGGGUCAGGGGCCCCGCGGCCCCGAGAGCAGACCGAUCUCCCGCCGAGACCUCGCCCGCGGACGACAGCUGCGGAGAGACUAGGAGGGAGCUGGGAGGAGGAGCCGCGACCCUGGCCCGCCCCGAAGCAAAACAGAAACACAAUGCAGAGGCGACGGAACGCAGCCCGGCCCGCGCCGCCCCACCCGGCCCGCAGCCGAGCCGUUCCGCCGACGGGAGUGAGAUGGCCGCCCACUCCCCGGGCCCCGCCGCAGACCCCGCCGCCGCGUCGCCCCCACAAGCCGCCACCGCCCACUGCCGGCCUCCCCUCGCUUGCCCGCCCACCCUCCUGGGACACGGCCCGCUCCACCCCUCGCGGCUGCUCACCGCGCUGAGGCGUAUCCCGCGGGGUGGCUGCGCCGCCAUCUUGAGCGAGCUACAAAGCCAGGACCGGCCUCCGUCGCAACCCGACUAGGAGGCGGUGGAACAACUGUGGAGCCCUGUGGGUACCGCCCACUUCCGGGGAGGGGCGCGCGUCUGGCCCCUCCCACCCACUUCCGCCUCCAGGCAAUGCCGAAUUGGGAGCUUGGGGAAGGUGAAUUGCCUGACUGGUUAAAGCAGGGUACAGUGGGAGCUGAGCUUCCAGCGCGGGGCCCUGCGGGCCUAGGGCGCAUGCGCGAGGCGCGGCGGGCCCGUACCCUCUCGACACCCAGCUGGACCUCGAGACUCGGGGAUGUAGAGUUUGAAGCCUGGCGCGAGAUGCGGUAUACCCGAGACAGGUGAACUCCAGUCACUUGACCUGGCCGGAUGUGAAUUGCGCAGAAAAAAGCCAUUCCAUAUCCACCAGUGUCCAUGUGAAACCUUAACGAAAUAAAGACGGAAAUUAAUGUAGACU